CGCGUAGGCGGGCAUGUAAGUCAGAUGUGAAAUUUAUGGGCUUAACCCAUAACCUGCAUUUGAAACUACAUGUCUUGAGUGAUGGAGAGGUAAGUGGAAUUCCUAGUGUAGCGGUGGAAUGCGUAGAUAUUAGGAGGAACACCAGUGGCGAAGGCGACUUACUGGACAUUAACUGACGCUGAGGCGCGAAAGCGUGGGGAGCAAACAG
rnacentral:rRNA from 1 species